rnacentral:lncRNA from 1 species
UGCGUCCUUGGGCACUUCACCUUCCAGGUCUCAGUUUUGCUCUUCAUAAAAUGGUUGGACAUCAGGAGGAGAGAGGCCACGCGGGGACGGAGGAGGCAGAGAGGACAGGCAGUGAUGGAGAAACUGGAGAGGAGCCGGCGAGCGUCACCAUCAUUACCAUCAUCAUCACCGCCACCAUCGCCUCCACCGUCACCAUCACCAUCAUCACCAUCACCAUCUCUGCCCGUCGCCCAUCCCAGCGGCCCCCGACCUCCCCUCCCCUCUCAUUUCCCCGGGUAACGUUAACUUUAUCGGAUUAUUUCCUUUUCCUGGGUGAUACUUUGAAACCGCGACAGACUGCUCCAAAUUAG